ACGGUGGCACGAGAGGUGCAGCAGUCAGUCUGAGACGUCCCGCCAGCAGCCGUGCCAAGGCUGGAGCACCUCUGGGGCAUGCUGCAGUGAGAGGCGGUUGCCCUGGGCGCCCUGCUAGCCGCCAAACACUUCGAAGCUGGCAGUUGGAGAGUGGUUGGCGACCGAGCUGGGUGGCGAAGGAGUUGUCUGCGUGUUGGGGCAUGUCUGAGUCCAGACGGUGGCACGAGAGGUGCAGCAGUCAGUCUGAGACGUCCCGCCAGCAGCCGUGCCAAGGCUGGAGCACCUCUGGGGCAUGCUGCAGUGAGAGGCGGUUGCCCUGGGCGCCCUGCUAGCCGCCAAACACUUCGAAGCUGGCAGUUGGAGAGUGGUUGGCGACCGAGCUGGGUGGCGAAGGAGUUGUCUGCGUGUUGGGGCAUGUGAGAGUCCAGACGGUGGCACGAGAGGUGCAGCAGGCAGUCUGAGACGCCCCGCCAGCAGCCUUGCCAAGGCUGGGAGUCCCCAGGAGCACCUCUGGGGCAUGCUGCAGUGAGAGGCGGUUGCCCUGGGCGCCCUGCUAGCCGCCAAACACCUCGAAGCUGGCAGUUGGAGAGUGGUUGGCGACCGAGCUGGGUGGCGAAGGAGUUGUCUGCGUGUG